GCCGGGCGUGGUGGCGGGUGCCUGUAGUUCCAGCUACUCGGGAGGCUGAGGCAGGAGAAUGGCGUAAACCUGGGAGGCGGAGCUUGCAGUGAGCCGAGAUCCUGCCACUGCACUCCCGCCUGGGUGACAGAGAGAGACUCCGUCUCAAAAAAAAAAAAAAAAAAAAUUUUUUUUGAGACGGAAUCACACUCUGUCACCCAGGCGGGAGUGCAGUGGUAGGAUCUCGGCUCACUGCAACCUCUGCCUUCUGGGCUCAAGCAAUUCUCCUGCCUCAG
rnacentral:SRP_RNA from 1 species